rnacentral:rRNA from 1 species
AUUGAACGCUGGCGGCAGGCCUAACACAUGCAAGUCGAACGAGUGGCGGACGGGUGAGUAAUGUCCGGGAAACUGCCUGAUGGAGGGGGAUAACUACUGGAAACGGUAGCUAAUACCGCAUACCAUCGGAUGUGCCCAGAGGGGAUUAGCUAGUAGGUGGGGUAACGGCUCACCUAGGCGACGAUCCCUAGCUGGUCUGAGAGGAUGAUCAUGCACCUUGGGACUUAGACACGGUCCAGACUCCUACGGGAUGCAGGAGUGGGGAAUAUUGCACAAUGGGUGCAAGCCUGAUGCAGCCAUGCCGCGUGUAUGAAGAAGGCCUUCGGGUUGUAAGGUACUUUCAGCGGGGAGGCGUUACCCGCAGAAGAAGCACCGGCUAGCUCCGUGCCAGCAGCCGCGGUAAUUC